rnacentral:rRNA from 1 species
UACGGGGGGAGCAAGCGUUGUUCGGAUUUACUGGGCGUUAAAGGCGCGUAGGCGGCGUAACAAGUCACUUGUGAAAUCUCCGGGCUUAACCCGGAGCGGCCAAGUGAUACUGUUGUGCUAGAGUGCGGAAGGGGCUACUGGAAUUCUCGGUGUAGCGGUGAAAUGCGUAGAUAUCGAGAGGAACACCUGCGGCGAAGGCGGGUCAUC